UCCAGACUCCUACGGGAGGCAGCAGUGGGGAAUAUUGCACAAUGGGGGAAACCCUGAUGCAGCGACGCCGCGUGAGCGAUGAAGUAUUUCGGUAUGUAAAGCUCUCUCAGCAGGGAAGAAGAUGACGGUACCUGACUAAGAAGCCCCGGCUAACUACGUGCCAGCAGCCGCGGUAAUACGUAGGGGGCAAGCGUUAUCCGGAUUUACUGGGUGUAAAGGGAGCGUAGACGGCGGUGCAAGCCAGAUGUGAAAGCCCGGGGCUCAACCCCGGGACUGCAUUUGGAACUGCGUGGCUGGAGUGCAGGAGGGGCAGGCGGAAUUCCUGGUGUAGCGGUGAAAUGCGUAGAUAUCAGGAGGAACACCGGUGGCGAAGGCGGCCUGCUGGACUGCAACUGACGUUGAGGCCCGAAAGCGUGGGGAGCAAACAGGAUUAGAUACCCGUGUA
rnacentral:rRNA from 1 species